AACGAACGCUGGCGGCAUGCCUAACACAUGCAAGUCGAACGAGACCUUCGGGUCUAGUGGCGCACGGGUGCGUAACACGUGGGAAUUUGCCUCGGGGUAUGGAAUAACUCAGGGAAACUUGAGCUAAUACCCAUAUAAUGUCUUCGGACCAAAGAUUUAUCGCCCUGAGAUAAGCCCGCGUAGGAUUAGCUAGUUGGUGAGGUAAAGGCUCACCAAGGCGACGAUCCUUAGCUGGUCUGAGAGGAUGAUCAGCCACACUGGGACUGAGACACGGCCCAGACUCCUACGGGAGGCAGCAGUGGGGGAAUAUUGGACAAUGGGCGAAAGCCUGAUCCAGCAAUGCCGCGUGAGUGAUGAAGGCCUUAGGGUUGUAAAGCUCUUUUACUGGGGGAUGAUAAUGACAGUACCCAGAGAAUAAGCUCCGGCUAACUCCGUGCCAGCAGCCGCGGUAAAGUGACUACUG
rnacentral:rRNA from 1 species